CUCGUCAGUCUCGUAUUUGCGGUAAGGGAAGUCGGUUCGAAAUGGUAUCAGAAAAGCCCGGAUAAGCGGUUAUUGAAAAGUUAUCUUUCCUUUACAAAAGCUCGAUGCGAGAAAUGGAAUACAUAUACAUAUAAAUCUUAGGUAUUAAAUGAAAACAAUUUUGUAAGAGGAAUUUUCAACGAGUUUCAAGGAAAAAAUAUAUAUAUAAGCACGCGUGAAAUAUUUGUGAAACAUGGAAGGUCGACUACACGGAGUCAAAGUAAAAAAAAAAUUGCAGAUCUUUUCAUAUCAUAAGAAUAAUCAUUUCUAAUGAUUCAGUCCGAGAUUAAGUAGUUUUAUAUUACGAAUGAUAUUAAAAAUAAUCGAUAGCAUUGAUUAGGAGGAACGAAAUUUAAAAAAAUGGCAAUUUCAACGCGCAACAGUACAAGGAAUAUAUUUUUUAUUGUAUGUGAAAAAUGUGAUUAGGGUAUAUGUAAUAUGACGAAAGGGAAGAAGGAAAAGGGAAAGAUAUUUGCAUUGACGAAGCAAAGGUCGAUUUUAUUAAUUUCGUGAACCAUAGUAUCAUAGUAUAUCAUCAUAGUAAAACAGGUCAGUUGUAUUAUUUUAUUCCGAAUGAAAAGCAAUAGAAAAUAUAUACAGUAUAAUGGCACAUAUCCACAAAUCUAAAUGUCGUUUUUGUA